rnacentral:ncRNA from 2 species
GCACAAUACAUGAUCAACGGUGCCCGCAAGGGCUUGAUAGGGAAGUGAGGUGAAAUUCCUCCACGGACCCGCCGCUGUAAGCGACGACAAAGGGCAACACAACCACUGACUGUCAAAGUCGGGAAGGUGCCUGGAGGAUGACUCGCAAGUCAGAAGACCUGCCUUGAUCUUACAUCAUGA